rnacentral:rRNA from 1 species
AGUGAACGCUGGCGGUAGGCCUAACACAUGCAAGUCGAACGGCAGCACAGUAAGAGCUUGCUCUUACGGUUGGCGAGUGGCGGACGGGUGAGGAAUACAUCGGAAUCUACUUUUUCGUGGGGGAUAACGUAGGGAAACUUACGCUAAUACCGCAUACGACCUACGGGUGAAAUCAGGGGUUCUUCGGACCUUGCGCGUUUGAAUGAGCCGAUGUCGUAUUAGCUAGUUGGCGGGGUUAAGGCCCACCAAGGCGACUAUCCGUAGCUGGUCUGUGAGGAUGAGCAGCCACACUGGAACUGAGACACGGUCCAGACUCCUAAGGGAGGGAGCAGUGGGGAAUUUUGGACAAUGGCCGGAAGCCAGGUCCAGCCAUACCGCGUGGGUUGAGAAGGCCUUCGGGUUGUAAAGCCCUUUUGUUGGGAAAGAAAAGCAGCAGUUUAAUACCCCGCUGUUCUGACGGUACCCAAAGAAUAAGCACCGGCUAGCUUCGUG